rnacentral:rRNA from 1 species
CAGCAGCCACGGGAAAACGGAGGGGGCUAGCGUUGUUCGGAAUUACUGGGCGUAAAGCGCACGUAGGCGGCUUGGUAAGUUAGAGGUGAAAGCCUGGAGCUCAACUCCAGAAUUGCCUUUAAGACUGCCGAGCUAGCAGGUGAGAGAGGUAAGUGGAAUUCCGAGUGUAGAGGUGAAGUUCGUAGAUAUUCGGAAGAACACCAGUGGCGAAGGCGGCUUACUGGCUCAUACUGGACGCUGAGGUGCGAAAGCGUGGGGAGCAAACAGGAUUAGAUACCCCGGUAGUCCCUGUCUCUUAUAA